rnacentral:rRNA from 1 species
CAGCAGCCGCGGGAAUACAGAGGGUGCGAGCGUUAAUCGGAUUUACUGGGCGUAAAGCGUGCGUAGGCGGCUUUUUAAGUCGGAUGUGAAAUCCCUGAGCUUAACUUAGGAAUUGCAUUCGAUACUGGGAAGCUAAAGUAUGGGAGAGGAUGGUAGAAUUCCAGGUGUAGCGGUGAAAUGCGUAGAGAUCUGGAGGAAUACCGAUGGCGAAGGCAGCCAUCUGGCCUAAUACUGACGCUGAGGUACGAAAGCAUGGGGAGCAAACAGGAUUAGAGACCCCUGUAGUCCCUGUCUCUUAUAC